rnacentral:rRNA from 1 species
AUUGGAGGGCAAGUCUGGUGCCAGCAGCCGCGGUAAUUCCAGCUCCAAUAGCGUAUAUUAAACUUGUUGCAGUUAAAAAGCUCGUAGUUGUAUUUUUGCGUUGACGGUUUGACCAUUUGGUUGGUUAUUUCGUUUUCGCUUUUGGGAAUUUCCCUUUUUACUUUGAGAAAAUUAGAGUGUUUCAAGCAGACUUUUGUCUUGAAUACYUCAGCAUGGAAUAAUAGAGUAGGACUUUGGUUCUAUUUUGUUGGUUAUUGAACCUUAGUAAUGGUUAAUAGGAACGGUUGGGGGCAUUC